rnacentral:tRNA from 1 species
UAAUUUAUAUCUAAUUAGUUAAAUUU